rnacentral:rRNA from 1 species
ACGCUGGCGGCGUGCCUAAUACAUGCAAGUAGAACGCUGAAGAGAGGAGCUUGCUCUUCUUGGAUGAGUUGCGAACGGGUGAGUAACGCGUAGGUAACCUGCCUUGUAGCGGGGGAUAACUAUUGGAAACGAUAGCUAAUACCGCAUAACAAUGGAUGACACAUGUCAUUUAUUUGAAAGGGGCAAUUGCUCCACUACAAGAUGGACCUGCGUUGUAUUAGCUAGUAGGUGAGGUAAUGGCUCACCUAGGCGACGAUACAUAGCCGACCUGAGAGGGUGAUCGGCCACACUGGGACUGAGACACGGCCCAGACUCCUACGGGAGGCAGCAGUAGGGAAUCUUCGGCAAUGGGGGCAACCCUGACCGAGCAACGCCGCGUGAGUGAAGAAGGUUUUCGGAUCGUAAAGCUCUGUUGUAAGUCAAGAACGGGUGUGAGAGUGGAAAGUUCACACUGUGACGGUAGCUUACCAGAAAGGGACGGCUAACUACGUGCCAGCAGCCGCGGUAAUACGUAGGUCCCGAGCGUUGUCCGGAUUUAUUGGGCGUAAAGCGAGCGCAGGCGGUUUGAUAAGUCUGAAGUUAAAGGCUGUGGCUCAACCAUAGUUCGCUUUGGAAACUGUCAAACUUGAGUGCAGAAGGGGAGAGUGGAAUUCCAUGUGUAGCGGUGAAAUGCGUAGAUAUAUGGAGGAACACCGGUGGCGAAAGCGGCUCUCUGGUCUGUAACUGACGCUGAGGCUCGAAAGCGUGGGGAGCGAACAGGAUUAGAUACCCUGGUAGUCCACGCCGUAAACGAUGAGUGCUAGGUGUUGGAUCCUUUCCGGGAUUCAGUGCCGCAGCUAACGCAUUAAGCACUCCGCCUGGGGAGUACGACCGCAAGGUUGAAACUCAAAGGAAUUGACGGGGGCCCGCACAAGCGGUGGAGCAUGUGGUUUAAUUCGAAGCAACGCGAAGAACCUUACCAGGUCUUGACAUCCCGAUGCUAUUUCUAGAGAUAGAAAGUUACUUCGGUACAUCGGUGACAGGUGGUGCAUGGUUGUCGUCAGCUCGUGUCGUGAGAUGUUGGGUUAAGUCCCGCAACGAGCGCAACCCCUAUUGUUAGUUGCCAUCAUUCAGUUGGGCACUCUAGCGAGACUGCCGGUAAUAAACCGGAGGAAGGUGGGGAUGACGUCAAAUCAUCAUGCCCCUUAUGACCUGGGCUACACACGUGCUACAAUGGUUGGUACAACGAGUUGCGAGUCGGUGACGGCGAGCUAAUCUCUUAAAGCCAAUCUCAGUUCGGAUUGUAGGCUGCAACUCGCCUACAUGAAGUCGGAAUCGCUAGUAAUCGCGGAUCAGCACGCCGCGGCGAAUACGUUCCCGGGCCUUGUACACACCGCCCGUCACACCACGAGAGUUUGUAACACCCGAAGUCGGUGAGGUAACCUUUUGGAGCCAGCCGCCUAAGGUGGGACAGAUGAUUGGGGUGAAGUCG